GCACAAUAUAAAAAAUGAUGCAGAAUUGGAAAGGGAUGAACAGGUGAAAGAGAAAAGGAAAAGAACUAGGAGACCAAGACAAUACCCAAGGCAAGAGUGGAUACCAAAAGCCACUGCAGAUGUAGCAGAUACUGGGGCAGAUAAAAUUGUUACUGAAACCAAUCAAGUGGAGGUAAAUUCAAGUGGACAUACUGAAGAUAUGCAGAUGGUGAAUACUACUGGACCUCAGCAGAUAUUAGAUGAACAUAGCAGGAUCACAGCAGCUUCAGGGGAU
rnacentral:lncRNA from 1 species